GGCCUCGUGGCCCAAUGGCAAGGCGUCUGACUACGACGAAAAGAUUCAUCCGAAUGCCUUCGAAUGGAUCGCUUAGAUCGAUAAUCAGGAGAUUCUGGGUUCGACCCCCAGCGAGGUCA
rnacentral:tRNA from 1 species